rnacentral:tRNA from 1 species
GCAGUGGUGGUUCCGUGGUAGAAUCUUCGCCUUCCAUGCAGGAGACCCAGGUUCUAUUCUUGGCUAGUGCA